UAAAGAUUCAUCGCUGAUAGAUAGGCAUGCGUUCCAUUAGGCAGUUGGCGGGGUAACGGCCCACCAAACCGACGAUGGAUAGGGGUUCUGAGAGGAAGGUCCCCCACAUUGGUACUGAGACACGGACCAAACUCCUACGGGAGGCAGCGGUGAGGAAUAUUGGUCAAUGGGCGCGAGCCUGAACCAGCCAAGUCGCGUGAGGGAUGAAGGUUCUAUGGAUCGUAAACCUCUUUUAUAAGGGAAUAAAGUGUGGGACGUGUCCUAUUUUGUAUGUACCUUAUGAAUAAGGAUCGGCUAACUCCGUGCCAGCAGCCGCGGUAAUACGGAGGAUCCGAGCGUUAUCCGGAUUUAUUGGGUUUAAAGGGUGCGUAGGCGGCCUUUUAAGUCAGCGGUGAAAGUCUGUGGCUCAACCAUAGAAUUGCCGUUGAAACUGGGGGGCUUGAGUAUGUUUGAGGCAGGCGGAAUGCGUGGUGUAGCGGUGAAAUGCUUAGAUAUCACGCAGAACCCCGAUUGCGAAGGCAGCCUGCCAAGCCAUGACUGACGCUGAUGCACGAAAGCGUGGGGAUCAAACAGGAUUAGAUACCCUGGUAGUCCACGCAGUAAACGAUGAUCACUAGCUGUUUGCGAUACAGUGUAA
rnacentral:rRNA from 1 species